CUCAUGCGAGAAGAUCUAAGGCUACAAGAUUGAAGCCCACCAUACGCAGCAGAAUCGACCGUCGCUGAGGCCUUCUUCUCCGGCAAAAUCUCCGAUUGUAGGGGUUCCAGCCUCGACUCGAUUUCGAAAAAUUUCAGUUUCGCCUCUCCACUUGCCGAUCAUUCGCAGGACCUUGAAGCUUGAUGCGUUGAUUUGGCUCUUUGAAUCCGAAGGGUGAGAGGGAAAGAGCUCUUAAAAAGCAGCUGGAGAAAAACUACAACAAAAUAAACAUGCUGGGAAAGAACUCCAGACUUUGUCAUAGCUGUAGAGGGAAGGGUCACUUGUUUGCUGAUUGCCCAAACAAAAGGUGAUGCCCCUUGUGUAAAUGUGGAAUUGUGAAGUGCUUUGAGGUCGAGAGGGAGACAAA